UUCAGUGUUUGCUCUCCACACUCUCCCCUAAUCGACUAUUGCAAAAUAUAUUUUUCGAUCACAACACUGUGGAAACCGCCAUCUUCGAUCUUUUACAAUUACCGAUCAUCACCGAUUACGCCUAUCCCCAAGCGUCACUCCAAACUCGUUUGUAAAUGUCUGUUGACAGAAGCAUUAGGUGGUUCUGAUUACGGUAGGAUUUCAAUUGGGUGAG
rnacentral:lncRNA from 1 species